UACAGAGGUCUCGAGCGUUAGUCGGAAUCACUGGGCUUAAAGCGUGUGUAGGUGGCUCGGUAAGUACCUUGUGAAAUCCCACAGCUUAACUGUGGAACUGCUUGGUAUACUGCCAGUCUUGAGCCACUUAGGGGCUACCGGAACAAAUGGUGGAGCGGUGAAAUGCGUAGAUAUCAUUUGGAACGCCAAUGGUGAAAACAGGUAGCUGGGAGUGUGCUGACACUGAGACACGAAAGCCAGGGGAGCAAACGGG
rnacentral:rRNA from 1 species